GACAGAGGGUGCAAACGUUGUUCGGAAUUACUGGGCGUAAAGCGCGUGUAGGCGGCCCUGCAAGUCGGAUGUGAAAUCCCACGGCUCAACCGUGGAAGUGCAUUCGAAACUGCAGGGCUAGAGUCCUGGAGAGGAAGGUGGAAUGCUUGGUGUAGAGGUGAAAUUCGUAGAUAUCAAGCGGAACACCGGUGGCGAAGGCGGCCUUCUGGACAGUGACUGACGCUGAGACGCAAAAGCGUGGGAGCAAACAGG
rnacentral:rRNA from 1 species